rnacentral:rRNA from 1 species
AUGGAAGAGGAAGGGGUGGUGAUGCCGCCGCCAGUCGUGGUGGUGGUGGAGGAGGAGGUUGUGCAGCCGCCGCCGAUGCUGGAGGAGGAGGAGGACUGGGUGACGGUGACGCUGGGGCACGCGGAGCAGUGCAGGCACCUCGUCGCCGCCGGGGUGGAAAAUGUCAUCGCCUGCUCCCAGGCCGCCCGCGUGACGCUCCUCGAGGUCGCGGCGGUGCUGCGAGACGACCCCAUCGACGCAGCGGAGACCAUCUACACCGACUUGCUCGAGGCCGUGUCCCGCGGCAUGGAUUCGCUCCUCCUCGGGCCCGCCGCGCAGAUCGUCGACAGCCUCUUCAACUGGCCCGGGCCGCUCGCGGGCGCCAUCGACGUCGCUACGGUCCUCCUACCCGACGCGGAGCCACUCGAAAAGGUCCGUCGCGAACUCCAGCUCCUCGUCGAUGUCGUCCACGCCGAGGCCGGGCACUUCUUCACGUUCUACACCGACAAUCUCGGUCUCGCUGCCCUCCCCGGCGGCGAAGGCGCGUACAAUCUCUGGGUCUUGGACCACCUCCACGCCGACGACCUGGCAAGGGAGGCGCUGCAGGCGCUGAACGUCGCCGUUGAGAGGAGCCUUGCGGCUGACCUCGACGUCCGUUUCUGCGGGAUCAUGCCCGCGUCGCGGGUGCGACCCGGGGCCGGGCCGCUCUUGCCGUUGGCGGUGCAGAGGCUGAACCAGACCGUCACCGCGGUCGACGACGCGCUGACGGCGCUGGACGACAUGCGAGACACCUUGGUGGAGCUGGAGCAGUCCGCGCUCAACGUCAUCGGCCAGGAUCCUCCGCCUCCAUGA